rnacentral:lncRNA from 1 species
GCACGGCGGAUGCAUACAAGGUACAUCAUAAGAAAAAUUGUAAGAUAGGAGUUGUGUUUGGUAUAACUUCAAAGAAAUUUUCAAAAACCUGAUUUUGAUUUUGAAAUUUAAGAGUAGUCCAUUAUAUUUUAUACUUUAAAGUUCAAACAUAAACCCUGCUAUUUUUUAAAGUAUAUAGUGUGUUUUAAUUUUCCUAAUAUUUCAAAUUACUUUAAAUUCGGGCCGGCCAUACUUCUCGCAUCAUAUGCUUGUAAAAAAUAUAAUAAAAUAAAUUUAAUAGCAAAUAACCAAAAUAUCCGUAGAUGAUUAGGGAUAUUUUAGUAAUUUUAUUUAUUUCUGUAUUUUCUUUUUUUAGUAAAUAUCUUUUUGUAUUUUCUACAUCUGUCUGAUGCUGAGAAAUAUGCUUGAGCACUGAUAUAUAAAAAGAAGAAAAAACGGCAACAAACUAUACAUUCUUAAAAAAAAAAAAGUGGCACUUGAGCAUAAGCUACGAAAUAGAGGUCCUAUUUCCAAAAAUACAAUAUGACUUUUCUGGAAUGUAAUUUUAUUAUGAUGAAAUAAAAGGUGGGGCCUAGAUGAUAAUUUCGGAAAUAUGACGAAUUGUUUGCGUGUCGUACACAAAUGUUUGUGUCCAUGAUUUGUAUAGGACUAAUUUAGUGCCAUGCUUUGAUGACUCGUAUAAUAUUAAUUACUACUAAACCAUGGAUUAUUAAUAGCCUAUUUUGGACGCAUCCGUGUGGUACUUGGCAUGCCAAAAACAAAGAGUUUGCUGUUUUUCUAGAACAUAUGAUUGGUUAAAGCAUUAAUUAAAAAAAAAUAUACAAAAUUUUCUUUCCUUUCUUUUUUUUUUUUUAUCUGGAAUUUUUUUUGGGUAAAUACAACCGCUCAAUAAAAAAAGAAAACUGAAAUUUUUGACAAUUGAAAUCGAGGUUCAUAUUUUUCAAAGGAAUCUCAUAAACUUCUCUCUAUGAAUGUGUUAAUAUUUAUUCUUGUUUAUUUCAACAACCCUCAAUGAAACAGAGACUGUGCAAGUCAAUAGAGAGAUAGAAUUGCUUAUUUUCAUAAAGGAAAUUCUUCCUUUAUUAAUUCGCACAAAUAAAAGAGCUCUUCGGAUCACAAAACAAAUGAUAAUACUAAUAACACCGUUGUUACUCCGUAUAUUGCCAAAUCUAGAAAGUCUAAUUUUGCAAGUUAAUGCGACAAUUGGUCAAAGUAGCAGAGGCAGCGUCCAUUUACUUACCAAGGGAGGCGGCAGCGUGGUCGGUUCUCAGUGUCUACCAAGC